UUACAAUAAGUGAACUACUAACUAAUGAAUCUUUCAUUUGAACGUGCAGAAAGCACUAUAACUAACUAUGGUUGAUAAAACCUAAAUUUUCAACGAUGGAUGUCUAGGUUCCCAUAACGAUGAAGAACGCAGCGAAAAUGCGAUAUGCAGUGUGAAUUGCAGAACCACGAAUCAUCGGAUUUUUGAAUGUAACUUACGUAGGCAACCCCUACAUGUUUGGUUCAGUGUGCGCAACAAACUAACCGAACCUCAAUGCAAGAGAAGUUCUCUUGUCAAGUACAUGCUCUUAGCAGCAGUCACAUUCGUGUGAGUUGUUGGGAGAAACAAAGACUUAUUUGCACCUGAACUCAAGCAAGAUGACCCGCUGAACUUAAGAUUAUCAGUA
rnacentral:rRNA from 1 species